rnacentral:sRNA from 1 species
AUAAUACAAUUAUUCAGAUUCCUAUAAGAUCAUCCUCUUGCUUUGUUGCUGGGCUUUCUGUGUCAUAAUCUCUGGUUUUAUAAGGAAAACGUUCUUAUUCUGACAUAUACCCCUUCCUCCUGAACUUCACUGCAGACCAGAAUUUGUUCUGAAAUCUCCAUGCCAUGCUUUUCCUUCAUAUCCCAGGGAGAAGCAUAUGCCUGUCUAUACAGGCUCACACAUAAGCAGUGUGUUCUAGAUGCCCAGAGGGGUGGCCUUCCUGAAUCUUGCGAUUCCCAGUGACGUGGACACUGUUUUACCUUCUAGAUGAGAAACUUGGAUGAGUGUGAGGUGUGCCGGGAUGGAGGGGAGCUGUUCUGUUGCGACACUUGUUCAAGAGUCUUCCAUGAGGACUGUCACAUCCCACCUGUGGAAGCUGAGAGAUGGGGAAGGAGCAGGUUCAUCGGGUACUGGGACCCAGCAGUGUGAUCCAGAGAGCAGUGGGAGACGCUGGCAGCAGGAGGUAAAUGCUCUCUGUGCUCUCAGGGACACCUCCUCUGAUAUGCUGAGGCCAGUGCUGGGGACCU